CUCAUGUCAGUGUGGAACUUCUUAUUAAAAGCUUGUUAACAAAGAAGAGAUGUUUUGCGAGAGAACAUGAGUUGUUCGUCAUUAAUUACCUGGCCAACCAAUUAUUGUUGUUGCUGCAUUGGAUUAUCAGCCCCGCUCAUAUGAAAUUAUCGGUCUUUUUGGUCUUUCUACGCUCUAAUUUUCUUAUUGUUUCUUCUUAAAUAAUGUAAUUAUUUGUCUUUCUUUUAUUUCUUUGAUAAGACGUAGGGUAUCUUAGAAUUCCUAAUGAGAUCAAGAUAUCUGAGUGCCUAAGUUUCUUUUUGGAAGUAAAAGUACCAAAAGUUGCAAAUAUCCUACUAAUAUUAAUUCUGCAGCUUCUUCUAGAUAUGAUUAAUAGUAUGAUGAUGGCUAUUCUAAGCAUGUGCUUCCAUUUGAGGCUAGCCUUUCAGUCUUUGCAGAGACAUCACAUGUCUUAACAAGUAAGGUAUUGGAUAAUGGCGUGUGCGUUUCUCUACCAAAGAUUCUUGGACUAAAAUGAGCUUUGACCCAGUUCUCUGAUUUAGGUGAUACAUUUGGAAAUCUCUCAGCAGCUAAGAAGCGUCGCUAUGCUAUUUAAACGAGCUAAUGGAAAGGGGGAUUGUGUUACUAGUGUAUACCCUCAAAAUCGAGGGAGCAUGAUUUUGAAGUCUUAAAUCAGGCUAUGAGUUCGAGUCCGGGAGAUUCGAACUGGAGAUCAGAUCUGGCUAAGGAACUUCCGCCUCGAGGAAGCUGAUCGAGGGCCUGGCGCGAUUUGCAUCGAGGGCGUCGCAAUCUCGAAGUGAAAGAGUGGAAAUUUCUAAAGAAUACGUGGACCUGAACAUUAAUUAUAGGAUAAGGGUGGUACAAAAAGGUAUAAGUCCGUACUAGGCCGUUAUACACUUGUACCAAUAGAAUUCUUUACCUUUAUGAGCAAGGUACUAUGUUAGGGUUUUCUCCUCCUAUAUAAAGGAGACUCCAAUGAUUAUUGUA